AACCUAGUAAAAUUGAUUGCAUUUAUGUUUGCGUUAAAAUUAAUUUCAUAUAGUAUAGUAUAUCAAUAUCAUAACAGUUAAAUUUAAAUAAAAAAUCAUGCACAAGGUCUAAAACUUUAAGGAGACAAAAAACAAAUAAUCAGCUUGAGAAUCCUGUGUACCAAACCAACUAGAAACUAAAUUCCAAAACUGAAGAAGCUGCCCUAGGAUUAAUUAGAAACAGUAUCACAUAAGAUUUUUAAUCCCCAUGAAACAAAACAUUAAGUAUGCAAUUUAAAAGUAGUAUAUUUCACCAAAACAUAGAUUCCAAUAGAUUUUAAAUCCCCAUAGAUUCCAAUAUUCAAACCCUAACUAACAUCAAGUCCAAUAAAAUCACAUCAUCAAAACCAAAUUCAAUAAGGGUCUGUUUGGUUCAAAUUAGGGGGAGGGGGGGUGAGGUAUUUUUAUAGAGGGGAGGGGAGGGAAGGGGAGAGAAAUUUUUUAAUUACAUAUGUGUUUGGUUCAAAAGAGGGGAGAGGAGGGGAGGUGAUUUAAUUAAAUAUAUGUUUG
rnacentral:lncRNA from 1 species